GACGAACGCUGGCGGCGUGCUUAUCACAUGCAAGUCGAACGGAAAGGCCCUGCUUUUGUGGGGUGCUCGAGUGGCGAACGGGUGAGUAACACGUGAGUAACCUGCCCUUGACUUUGGGAUAACUUCAGGAAACUGGGGCUAAUACCGGAUAGGAGCUCCUGCUGCAUGGUGGGGGUUGGAAAGUUUCGGCGGUUGGGGAUGGACUCGCGGCUUAUCAGCUUGUUGGUGGGGUAGUGGCUUACCAAGGCUUUGACGGGUAGCCGGCCUGAGAGGGUGACCGGCCACAUUGGGACUGAGAUACGGCCCAGACUCCUACGGGAGGCAGCAGUGGGGAAUAUUGCACAAUGGGCGGAAGCCUGAUGCAGCAACGCCGCGUGCGGGAUGACGGCCUUCGGGUUGUAAACCGCUUUCGCCUGUGACGAAGCGUAAGUGACGGUAAUGGGUAAAGAAGCACCGGCUAACUACGUG
rnacentral:rRNA from 1 species